rnacentral:rRNA from 1 species
UGGGGAAUUUUGGACAAUGGGGGAAACCCUGAUCCAGCCAUCCCGCGUGUGCGAUGAAGGCCUUCGGGUUGUAAAGCACUUUUGGCAGGAAAGAAACGUCGCGGGUUAAUACCCCGCGAAACUGACGGUACCUGCAGAAUAAGCACCGGCUAACUACGUGCCAGCAGCCGCGGUAAUACGUAGGGUGCAAGCGUUAAUCGGAAUUACUGGGCGUAAAGCGUGCGCAGGCGGUUCGGAAAGAAAGAUGUGAAAUCCCAGAGCUUAACUUUGGAACUGCAUUUUUUAACUACCGGGCUAGAGUGUGUCAGAGGGAGGUGGGAUUCCGCGUGUAGCAGUGAAAUGCGUAGAUAUGCGGAGGAACACCGAUGGCGAAGGCAGCCUCCUGGGAUAACACUGACGCUCAUGCACGAAAGCGUGGGGAGCAAACAGGAUUAGAUACCCUGGUAGUCCACGCCCUAAACGAUGUCAACUAGCUGUUGGGGGCCUUCGGGCCUUGGUAGCGCAGCUAACGCGUGAAGUUGACCGCCUGGGGAGUACGGUCGCAAGAUU